CCUACGGGAGGCAGCAGUGGGGAAUUUUGGACAAUGGGCGCAAGCCUGAUCCAGCCAUGCCGCGUGGGUGAAGAAGGCCUUCGGGUUGUAAAGCCCUUUCGGCUGGGACGAAAAGGUCCGUGUUAACACCACGGAUCCAUGACGGUACCAGCAGAAGAAGCACCGGCUAACUACGUGCCAGCAGCCGCGGUAAUACGUAGGGUGCAGGCGUUAAUCGGAAUUACUGGGCGUAAAGCGUGCGCAGGCGGUCUAUUAAGACAGGUGUGAAAUCCCCGGGCUUAACCUGGGAACUGCGCUUGUAACUGAUAGGCUAGAGUGUGGCAGAGGGGGGUGGAAUUCCACGUGUAGCAGUGAAAUGCGUAGAGAUGUGGAGGAACACCGAUGGCGAAGGCAGCCCCCUGGGCUAACACUGACGCUCAUGCACGAAAGCGUGGGGAGCAAACAGGAUUAGAUACCCUGGUAGUCCACGCCCUAAACUAUGUCAACUGGUUGUCGGGGAAGCAAUUCCUUGGUAACGAAGCUAACGCGUGAAGUUGACCGCCUGGGGAGUACGGCCGCAAGGUUAAAACUCAAAGGAAUUGACGGGGACCCGCACAAGCGGUGGAUUAUGUGGAUUAAUUCCAUGCAACGCGAAAAACCUUACCUACCCUUUGACAUGCCAGGAACCCUCCCAAGAUGGAGGGGUGCCCGAAAGGGAACCUGGACACAGGUGCUGCAUGGCUGUCUUCAGCUCGUGUCGUGGAUGUUGGGUUUAGUCCCCGCACCGAGGCGCAACCCUUGCCCUUUAUUGCUA
rnacentral:rRNA from 1 species